rnacentral:rRNA from 1 species
GAUGAACGCUAGCUGGAGGCUUAAUACAUGCAAGUCGAGCGGGAUUGGGUAGCAAUACCCAUGAGAGCGGCGCACGGGUGAGUAACGCGUACACGACCUACCUCUGACAGGGGGAUAGCCCUGGGAAACUGGGAUUAAUACCGCAUAUUAUUCUGAAUAAUAAAGGUUUGGAAUGAAAGCUGAGGCGGUCAGAGAUGGGUGUGCGUCUGAUUAGCUAGUUGGUAGGGUAACGGCCUACUAAGGCGAUGAUCAGUAGGGGGCGUGAGAGCGUGGUCCCCCACGCGGGUACUGAGACACGGACCCGACUCCUACGGGAGGCAGCAGUAAGGAAUAUUGGUCAAUGGAGGGAACUCUGAACCAGCCAUGCCGCGUGAAGGAUGACGGCCUCUGGGUUGUAAACUUCUUUGGAUGGGGCGAAAAACGGGAUUUAUCCUGGACUGACGGUACCAUCAGAAUAAGCACCGGCUAACUCCGUGCCAGCAGCCGCGGU